AGGACAAACGCUGGCGGCGUGCCUAAAACAUGCAAGUCGAACGGACACUUCGGUGUCAGUGGCGGACGGCUGAGUAACGCGUGGGCAAUCUGCCCAGGAGUGGGGAAUAACCCUCCGAAAGGAGGGCUAAUACCGCAUACGACCACGAGUUUCCGGAUUCGUGAGGAAAGUCGAAAGGCGCUCUUGGAGGAGCCCGCGUCCGAUUAGCUAGUUGGUGUGGUAACGGCGCACCAAGGCUUCGAUCGGUAGCUGGUCUGAGAGGAUGAUCAGCCAGACUGGGACUGCGACACGGCCCAGACUCCGUACGGAGGCAGCAGUUAGGAAUCGUGGGCAAGUGGGACGAAAGCCUAGACCCAGCCAACGGCCGACGUGGGUAGACGAAGGCCGUUCGGUCGUAACGUCCCUUUCCGA
rnacentral:rRNA from 1 species